rnacentral:rRNA from 1 species
GAUGAACGCUGGCGGCGUGCCUAACACAUGCAAGUCGAGCGAUUCUCUUCGGAGAAGAGCGGCGAACGGGUGAGUAACACGUUGGUAUCUGCCCCUUGGUCAGGGAUAGCCAGUCGACAGACUGAUUAAUAACGGAUAGUCGCGAAAGAGUAAAGAUUUAUUGCCAAGGGAGGAUCCUGCGGUCUAUCAGCUAGUUGGCGAGGUAAAGGCUCACCAAGGCUAUGACGGAUAGCUGGUCUGAGAGGAUGAUCAGCCACGAUGGAACUGAGACACGGUCCAUACUCCUACGGGAGGCAGCAGUGAGGAAUCUUCCACAAUGGGCGCAAGCCUGAUCCAGCCAUGCCGCGUGAGUGAUGAAGGCCUUAGGGUUGUAAAGCUCUUUCGCCGACGAAGAUAAUGACGGUAGUCGGAGAAGAAGCCCCGGCUAACUUCGUGCCAGCCGCCGCAGUAAAAC